AACCGCCGUAUACGGAACCGUACGUACGGUGGUGUGGGAGGACGGGGGCCGUAAGGCCCCCGUCCUACCCGAU
rfam:Deltaproteobacteria bacterium GWC2_65_14 gwc2_scaffold_976, whole genome shotgun sequence.